rnacentral:rRNA from 1 species
AUGGGCCAGUGCAAAUCCUACUUGGAUAACUGUGGUAAUUCCAGAGCUAAUACAUGCAACUGAUAUCCCGAAGGCGGUGUUGGGGCUUGCUUGCCUUGCGCUGCGCUGCUCUGACGGAUGCUUUUAUUAGACCAAGCCGCUGAGGACUUGAGGGUUCGCGCUCUCUUGUUUGACUCGUGUGAUGGUGACUCUGGAUAACCAAAUUCUGACAAGCGCACGUACUUCUCUUCUGAGCGAGACGGCGCUGCCACUUUCGAGUGUCUGCCUUAUCAGCUAUCAACCGUUCGUUAUGCGCGACCGAUGGCUUUGACGGGUAACGGGGAAUCAGGGUUCGAUUCCGGAGAGGCAGCCUGAGAGACGGCUACCACGUCCAAGGACGGCAGCAGGCACGCAAAUUACCCAAUCCCAGCAAAUGGGGGAGGUAGUGACGAAAUCUAACGAUGCGGGCGCCCUUUCUGGGGCCCCGCAAUCG